AGUUCAUUAUGUGGGAAAUCUCUCAUUAGCCUCUUGAAUCUCGCCCAUGCAUCACUGGGGAUUUCAUUUUCUUCUUGCUGAAAGUUAGUAAUUAACCUUCUUCUUUU